AGCUUUGUCAGUCAGUUAUUGGUUCCCAACCUACGCGAAAUCUACUUUAAUCAGUUUCUGCUGGUAAACGAGAUCUGAGCGGAAACCGGACCACGCUGCAAUCUAAUAUCCGGGAACGACUUUCGAGGAACCUAAUUCACAACAGCACGAUCGAAGAAGCCGCUCGCUGAGGGCACCGAGAACACCAUUCUAGAUUUCGUCUGAGAGACAGCAGGAGUUGAAUCUAAAGUGGGGAUUGUUAUAGAUCCAAUGUCAGAUAUGGAUAAUAAGGAGACGAAUGAAAAGUGUACAGAUGAUUCAAAUGAUGGUGGUAACGAAAAGAAUGCAUUAAGGCGAAGCAAGAGGAGCAUAAUCCGUGCACCAUUAAGGUCUACAUAUGAAGAAAAUGCACCUCGAUGGAAGUCUGAUUCAAUGGGCAGAAUGAGAGAAGUGUUCCAUAUCUAGAGGUGUACUACUACCUAUACUUGAGUUGACAAGGUACUUUAGCUGCGAUGACAUUUGGAUUUAAUUCCUUUCUUUCUUUGAAGACCAAAAUUGGAUUUUAUGUUGUCAAUUAAAAGUUUGCAAACCAUGUCAAUAUAAUUUCAUAAACAAUGUACCAUAUGUAACACCUGUAUCCAUUAUAAUCUUGAAUAAAUAUUCUAUUACC